ACGCGAAAACUUUACAAUGCUGGCAACAGCGAUAAGGGAACCUCGAGUGCCAGGUUACAAAUCUGGCUGUCGAGAUGCCUAAAAAGCAUUUCAUAGCAAGGGCCGGGCAAGACCGGUGCCAGCCGCCGCGGUAACACCGGCGGCUCGAGUGGUAACCGUUAUUAUUGGGUCUAAAGGGUCUGUAGCCGGCCGGAUAAGUCUCUUGGGAAAUCUGGCAGCUUAACUGUCAAGCUUUCAGGAGAUACUGUCUGGCUCGAGGCCGGGAGAGGUGAGAGGUACUUCAGGGGUAGGGGUGAAAUCUUGUAAUCCUUGAAGGACCACCAGUGGCGAAGGCGUCUCACCAGAACGGACCUGACGGCAAGGGACGAAAGCUAGGGGCACGAACC
rnacentral:rRNA from 1 species